ACGAACUGUGCGAACGUUAUUCGGAAUCACUGGGCUUACAGGGUGCGUAGGCGGCCAUUCAAGUCAGGUGUGAAAUCCCACGGCUCAACCGUGGAACUGCGCUUGAAACUGUUUGGCUUGAGUCAGCUAGAGGUAAACGGAACUUCCGGUGGAGCGGUGAUAUGUGUUGAUAUCGGAAGGAACACCAGAGGCGAAAGCGGUUUACUGGAGCUGUUACUGACGCUGAGGCACGAAAGCCAGGGGAGCAAACGGG
rnacentral:rRNA from 1 species